UACGUAGGGCGCAAGCGUUGUCCGGAAUUAUUGGGCGUAAAGAGCUCGUAGGCGGUUUGUCGCGUCUGCUGUGAAAUCCCGAGGCUCAACCUCGGGCUUGCAGUGGGUACGGGCAGACUAGAGUGCGGUAGGGGAGACUGGAAUUCCUGGUGUAGCGGUGGAAUGCGCAGAUAUCAGGAGGAACACCGAUGGCGAAAGCAGCUUUCUGGGACGGUACUGACGCUGAGACGCGAAAGCGUGGGGAGCGAACAGG
rnacentral:rRNA from 1 species